rnacentral:rRNA from 1 species
AUUGAACGCUGGCGGCAGGCUUAACACAUGCAAGUCGAGCGGAGAGAGGUAGCUUGCUACUGAUCUUAGCGGCGGACGGGUGAGUAAUGCUUAGGAAUCUGCCUAUUAGUGGGGGACAACAUUUCGAAAGGAAUGCUAAUACCGCAUACGUCCUACGGGAGAAAGCAGGGGAUCUUCGGACCUUGCGCUAAUAGAUGAGCCUAAGUCGGAUUAGCUAGUUGGUGGGUAAAGGCCUACCAAGGCGACGAUCUGUAGCGGGUCUGAGAGGAUGAUCCGCCACACUGGGACUGAGACACGGCCCAGACUCCUACGGGAGGCAGCAGUGGGGAAUAUUGGACAAUGGGCGGAAGCCUGAUCUAGCCAUGCCGCGUGUGUGAAGAAGGCCUUAUGGUUGUAAAGCACUUUAAGCGAGGAGGAGGCUACUUUAGUUAAUACCUAGAGAUAGUGGACGUUACUCGCAGAAUAAGCACCGGCUAACUCUGUGCCAGCCGCCGCCGUAAAAC